rnacentral:rRNA from 1 species
AACGCUAGCUACAGGCUUAACACAUGCAAGUCGAGGGGAAACGAUAGAGAAAGCUUGCUUUUUCUAGGCGUCGACCGGCGCACGGGUGAGUAACGCGUAUCCAACCUGCCCAUCACUUGGGGAUAACCUUGCGAAAGUAAGACUAAUACCCAAUGAUAUCUCAAGAAGACAUCUGAAUGAGAUUAAAGAUUUAUCGGUGAUGGAUGGGGAUGCGUCUGAUUAGCUUGUUGGCGGGGUAACGGCCCACCAAGGCGACGAUCAGUAGGGGUUCUGAGAGGAAGGUCCCCCACAUUGGAACUGAGACACGGUCCAAACUCCUACGGGAGGCAGCAGUGAGGAAUAUUGGUCAAUGGCCGUAAGGCUGAACCAGCCAAGUAGCGUGCAGGAUGACGGCCCUAUGGGUUGUAAACUGCUUUUAAACGGGGAUAAAGUGAGCCACGUGUGGUUUAUUGCAGGUACCGUUUGAAUAAGGACCGGCUAAUUCCGUGCCAGCAGCCGCGGUAAUACGGAAGGUCCAGGCGUUAUCCGGAUUUAUUGGGUUUAAAGGGAGCGUAGGCGGAGCGUCAAGCCAGCAGUGAAAUGUAGCGGCCCAACCGCUGCACUGCUGUUGGAACUGGCGCCCUUGAGUGCACACGAGGUAUGCGGAAUUUGUGGUGUAGCGGUGAAAUGCUUAGAUAUCACGAAGAACUCCGAUUG